AAUGCACAUGUAGUUGGGAAUGGGAGAUCUGCAGUUGCUGCCCCUGCGCCAUAUCCAAGGAUGCCAAAUAAUGACAUGGAAACACAAAUCCAUAUUAUUAAACAAGAUGCAUACUGCUCAGUUUUGCGGGCCUUCAAGGCUCAUUCCGAUGCCAUUUCUUAGUAGGAGAAGGAAAGUUUGAAAACGGAACUAGGGAAAGAGCUGCGGGUGUCAGACGAGGAAUAUAGGGAGCUUCUAUCCAGGGUGAACAGUGAUUAUAUGAUUUGUAGAAUAAGGGUCGCAGGGAGUGGAGAACGGCAAAUGGGGUAAACAGGCAUGCUUAGCUCUUCACAACCUGUUCAUGAAUCUGUACCUAGCCCAACUGUUUCAGCAUCGCAUAAGAAACAGAUAACAGAACAGUCAGUGUCGAAUUAUCUGUUGAUGCACCAUCUCCAACCUUGCAUCCUAACAUGCAGCCAUCUUCAUAAAAUUUCAGAAGAGGCCAACUAGGAUCCUGACCCAAAGAGACAAAACUAACUUUGCCAUACCCUUUCCUGCUCCUCUAGGAAGACCUCAGGUCGCCAAUCGUAGUACAUGAGGCACUUUUGGUGCUAAUGACCCUUCUGAAAAUGAUAAUUAUGGGAAUAUUGGGAAAAGAGUAUGGACAAGAUGGCCGGAAGAUAACAAUUUCUAUGAGGCAAUUAUAACAGACUUCAAAAAGGGUCGGCAUGGUUUAGUUUAUGUAUGAACGCCUAACGAAGCAUGGAAAUGGGUCAAUCUGAAAGAGGUGCUACAUCAAUAUGUGGCCUGAACCUUUGGAGUCAGAUUUUAUUUAUGCUUCAUCAUCUAUAGGAACUUCAGUGCACGGUUCCUAGAAGCAUUUUCUGCAGCUUCUGGUUAGGGAUUACAACAUUUAUAUAAUUCAGAAUAAUCUGAUCCAUUGGUGACAUAUCUGUGCUAUUUGUGUACUUGGUUAUAAAAGUUAUAGAUUUGUAAAGAAAUGCUGCUCUCUACACUUAGUUAUUGGAAGUGAAAAGGCCUCUUGGUUUUUAAGCCAUCUCCCCAUUAAAGCUUCAGUCGAAUGGCUAUGUUUAAAACUUAUCCUUACAAUGCUGCCGAUGAAUUGAAGAGCCCAUCCAUAGCAGUCGGACAGAGUGAAGAGUGCACACUGCGAAAUACUUGUAUUUGAGAUUUUGCAGCUACCUUAUUUUGUGCUCAAAGCUUAAUACCAUAAAUAUAUUUCUGGGUGAGGGUGUAGAUUUUCCA